rnacentral:rRNA from 1 species
CGUCGCUACUACCGAUUGAAUGGCUCAGUGAGGCCUUCGGACUGGCCCAGGGAGGUCGGCAACGACCACCCAGGGCCGGAAAGUCGGUCAAACUCGGUCAUUUAGAGGAAGUAAAAGUCGUAACAAGGUCUCCGUAGGUGAACCUGCGGAGGGAUCAUUA